rnacentral:ribozyme from 1 species
CACCAGUACCAGUACAGCUCCAGCUGCCGCUGCUCCGUCAAGCAGUGACAAGAAGUCUAGUUUUUCUUUUGGUGCACCUGCUGCCACGAGCACUGCUCCAGCUCCAGCCGCUGCUGCUCCCGC